AGAGUUUGAUCCUGGCUCAGGAUGAACGCUGGCGGCGUGCCUAAUACAUGCAAGUCGAACGGUGCUUACGGUGAAGUUUUCGGACGGAAGUGUAAGCAUAGUGGCGGACGGGUGAGUAACACGUGGGUAACCUGCCCUGUACAGGGGGAUAACAGUUAGAAAUGACUGUUAAUACCGCAUAAGCGCACAGGAGCGCAUGCUUCUGUGUGAAAAGCUCCGACGGUACAGGAUGGGCCCGCGUCUGAUUAGCCAGUUGGCGGGGUAACGGCCCACCAAAGCGACGAUCAGUAGCCGGACUGAGAGGUUGAACGGCCACAUUGGGACUGAGACACGGCCCAUACUCCUACGGGAGGCAGCAGUGGGGAAUAUUGCACAAUGGGGGGAACCCUGAUGCAGCGACGCCGCGUGGGUGAAGAAGUAUUUCGGUAUGUAAAGCCCUAUCAGCAGGGAAGAAGAUGACGAUACCUGAGUAAGAAGCCCCGGCUAACUACGUGUCAGCAGCCGCGGUAAUACGUAGGGGGCGAGCGUUAUCCGGAUUUACUGGGUGUAAAGGGAGCGUAGACGGCGAGACAAGUCUGGAGUGAAAUGCCGGGGCUCAACCCCGGAGCUGCUCUGGAAACUGCCUUGCUUGAGUGCCGGAGAGGUAAGCGGAAUUCCUAGUGUAGCGGUGAAAUGCGUAGAUAUUAGGAGGAACACCAGUGGCGAAGGCGGCUUGCUGGACGGCAACUGACGUUGAGGCUCGAAGGCGUGGGGAGCAAACAGGAUUAGAUACCCUGGUAGUCCACGCGGUAAACGAUGAGUGCUUAGGGUGUCUGUGGGCAAAGCCCAUAGGUGCCGCCGCAAACGCAUUAAGCACUCCACCUGGGGAGUACGUUCGCAAGAAUGAAACUCAAAGGAAUUGACGGGGGCCCGCACAAGCGGUGGAGCACGUGGUUUAAUUCGAUGCAACGGCGAAGAACCUUACCUGGUCUUGACAUCCACAGAACUUUCCAGAGAUGGAUUGGUGCCUUCGGGAACUGUGAGACAGGUGCUGCAUGGCUGUCGUCAGCUCGUGUUGUGAAAUGUUGGGUUAAGUCCCGCAACGAGCGCAACCCUUGUCCUUAGUAGCCAGCGCGUAGCGGCGGGCACUCUAGGGAGACUGCCGGGGACAACCCGGAGGAAGGCGGGGACGACGUCAAAUCAUCAUGCCCCUUAUGGCCUGGGCUACACACGUGCUACAAUGGCGCACACAAAGGGAAGCAAAGCCGCGAGGCCGUGCAAAUCCCAAAAAAGGCGCCCCAGUUCGGACUGCAGUCUGCAACCCGACUGCACGAAGCCGGAAUCGCUAGUAAUCGCGGAUCAGAAUGCCGCGGUGAAUACGUUCCCGGGUCUUGCACUCACCGCCGGUCA
rnacentral:rRNA from 1 species